rnacentral:rRNA from 1 species
AUGUUGGAGUUUUUUCAUCAUGUGAAGCUAGUGAACAUAAAGGUUGUGAGAAAUGGUCAAACUGGAAUUAGUACACAGGCUAAUGAGAAUUACAUGAACACUCAAGAGAGCUGCUGUGUGAAAAAUGUUGUGGAGCAAUCUGAGCUUCAGAAUCAGAUAGAUGAUAGAAAGGCUCAGCUUGAGAGGAGCAGGAUUCAAAGAGAGGCAGAUUUGAACCACUUUGAAGGAGACACGGAAGUGUCUGAAUUUUGUUCUGAGGGAUUCAGUUCAUUUAGAUGGGAGUGCUGA